CGACGAACCAUCCUGUUGAUUGAAGCUUGCUUCUUGAUUCAGAUUUUGGUGAGUGGCGGACGGGUGAGUAACACGUGGGUAACCUGCCCAAAAGUGGGGGAUAACAUUUGGAAACAAGUGCUAAUACCGCAUAACAACUGCUUUCACAUGAUCGCAGCUUGAAAGAUGGCUCUGCUAUCGCUUUUGGAUGGACCCGCGGCGUAUUAGCUAGUUGGUGAGGUAAUAGCUCACCAAGGCAAUGAUACGUAGCCGACCUGAGAGGGUAAUCGGCCACAUUGGGACUGAGACACGGCCCAAACUCCUACGGGAGGCAGCAGUAGGGAAUCUUCCACAAUGGGCGAAAGCCUGAUGGAGCAAUGCCGCGUGAGUGAAGAAGGUUUUCGGAUCGUAAAACUCUGUUGUUGAAGAAGAACAUGCGUGAGAGUAACUGUUCACGUACUGACGGUAUUCAACCAGAAAGCCACGGCUAACUACGUGCCAGCAGCCGCGGUAAUACGUAGGUGGCAAGCGUUGUCCGGAUUUAUUGGGCGUAAAGAGAAUGUAGGCGGUUU
rnacentral:rRNA from 1 species